rnacentral:rRNA from 1 species
UACAGAGGGGGCAAGCGUUGUUCGGAAUUACUGGGCGUAAAGGGCGCGUAGGCGGCCUUCUAAGUCGAACGUGAAAUCCCCGGGCUCAACCCGGGAACUGCGUCCGAUACUGGAAGGCUUGAAUCCGGGAGAGGGAUGUGGAAUUCCAGGUGUAGCAGUGAAAUGCGUAGAUAUCUGGAGGAACACCGGUGGCGAAGGCGGCCAUCUGGACGGAUACUGACGCUGAGACGCGAAAGCGUGGGGAGCAAACAGG